rnacentral:rRNA from 1 species
UGGGGAAUAUUGCACAAUGGAGGGAACUCUGAUGCAGCGACGCCGCGUGAACGAAGAAGGCUUUCGAGUCGUAAAGUUCUUUUAUAUGGGAAGAUAAUGACGGUACCAUAAGAAAAAGCCCCGGCUAACUACGUGCCAGCAGCCGCGGUAAUACGUAGGGGGCUAGCGUUGUCCGGAAUUAUUGGGCGUAAAGGGUGCGCAGGCGGCUUUACAAGUUGGAUGUGAAAUAUUGUGGCUCAACCACAAACGUGCAUCCAAAACUGCAAAGCUUGAGUUAAGGAGAGGUAAGUGGAAUUCCUGGUGUAGCGGUGGAAUGCGUAGAUAUCAGGAGGAAUACCGGUGGCGAAGGCGACUUACUGGACUAAAACUGACGCUCAGGCACGAAAGCGUGGGGAGCAAACAGG